AGAGUUUGAUCCUGGCUCAGGACGAACGCUGGCGGCACGCCUAACACAUGCAAGUCGAACGGAGAUGAUUUGAGUUUACUUAGAUCAUCUUAGUGGCGGACGGGUGAGUAACACGUGAGCAACCUGCCUUUGAGAGAGGGAUAGCUUCUGGAAACGGAUGGUAAUACCUCAUAACAUACAGAUACCGCAUGGUGACUGUAUCAAAGAUUUAUCACUCAAAGAUGGGCUCGCGUCUGAUUAGAUAGUCGGUGAGGUAACGGCUCACCAAGUCGACGAUCAGUAGCCGGACUGAGAGGUUGAACGGCCACAUUGGGACUGAGACACGGCCCAGACUCCUACGGGAGGCAGCAGUGGGGAAUAUUGCACAAUGGGGGAAACCCUGAUGCAGCGAUGCCGCGUGGAGGAAGAAGGUUUUCGGAUUGUAAACUCCUCUCUUAAAGGACGAUAAUGACGGUACUUUAGGAGGAAGCUCCGGCUAACUACGUGCCAGCAGCCGCGGUAAUACGUAGGGAGCGAGCGUUGUCCGGAAUUACUGGGUGUAAAGGGAGCGUAGGCGGGACGGCAAGUCAGAUGUGAAAUACAUGGGCUCAACCCAUGGGCUGCAUUUGAAACUGCUGUUCUUGAGUGAAGUAGAGGUAAGCGGAAUUCCUGGUGUAGCGGUGAAAUGCGUAGAUAUCAGGAGGAACACCGGUGGCGAAGGCGGCUUACUGGGCUUUUACUGACGCUGAGGCUCGAAAGCGUGGGGAGCAAACAGGAUUAGAUACCCUGGUAGUCCGCACGGUAAACGAUGGAUGCCCGCUAUUCGCCCACCUGGGCGAGUGGCCAAGCGAAAGCGUUAAGCAUCCCACCUGGGGAGUACGCCGGCAACGGUGAAACUCAAAGGAAUUGACGGGGGCCCGCACAAGCGGAGGAACAUGUGGUUUAAUUCGAUGAUACGCGAGGAACCUUACCCGGGCUUGAAUUGCAGAGGAAGGAUUUAGAGAUAAUGACGCCCUUCGGGGCCUCUGUGAAGGUGCUGCAUGGUUGUCGUCAGCUCGUGCCGUGAGGUGUCGGCUUAAGUGCCAUAACGAGCGCAACCCCUCUCCGUAGUUGCCAUCGGGUGAUGCCGGGCACUCUGCGGACACUGCCACCGUAAGGUGUGAGGAAGGUGGGGAUGACGUCAAAUCAGCACGGCCCUUACGUCCGGGGCUACACACGUGUUACAAUGGGGCAUACAGAGCGCCGGCGGCCGGCAACGUCCGUCCAAUCGCAAAAGUGUCCCCCAGUUCGGACUGGGGUCUGCAACCCGACCCCACGAAGCUGGAUUCGCUAGUAAUCGCGCAUCAGCCAUGGCGCGGUGAAUACGUUCCCGGGCCUUGUACACACCGCCCGUCAAGCCAUGAAAGCCGGGGGCGCCUGAAGUCCGUGACCGCAAGGGUCGGCCUAGGGCGAAACCGGUGAUUGGGGCUAAGUCGUAACAAGGUA
rnacentral:rRNA from 1 species